UGCUCAGUUGGUAGAGCAUGAAACUCUUAAACUCAGGGUUGUGGGUUCAAGUCUCAUGUCGGGCAAAA